AACAAGAUUCAAGUGUUGAAAUAAAUACUACACACUUAGAUAUUCAAUACAAAGCAAGGAAAUGAAGAAAUGAGUACAAAUGAGUAAUAAAUUCUUAUACAAAAUCUUCAAAUCUUCAAAACUCAAGUGUGUGUGCAAACCCUAGCUCCCAAAACUUGUUCUCUCUAGUCUUAGAGACUGAAAAUAAGCCAAAGAUAUGUUUUCAAUAGGCUAGGUCGUGUAUUUGUGGGUUUGAAAUUGAGAAAAUAUGAAAUGUCAUUCCAAUCUAGGUUUGAUGCCCGUUGACUGCACCUGCGGAAGAAUCCAUGUAGGUGCGGCUCCGCAAAUGCGGAAAUUGAAGGGAACUCUUGCUCCGCAGAUGUGGACUCUCAAGCGCAGAUGUGCAAUCCCAGAAGUGGGUCUCGCCUCAUAGAUGCGAACCCAGGCAAGGUGGCUCAGCUCUGCAAAUGUGGGCCAUUUCUCGCAGAUGUAAGGUCGCUUCUGUGACCAAUCUUUCGCAGAUGCGGAAUCCCUUAAGAAUUUUGCAUUGUUUUCACCUUUUUUUGCUCAAUUCCACUUCAAUUGAAUUCAAACCACUUCAUGGUAUCAUUUACCUGAAAAUCUAACCAUGCAUACCAUAAAUCACCUUAUUUUAUAAUUAAAGGACACAAAACUAACGAAAAGGGACUAGAAUGAGUGGUAAAAUCACCACUUAUCAGUCGUAACUGCCCCUUUUAUAUAAUAUACAACCAAACUCUAGUCUGCAAGCCUCUAAGAGUACCAAAAGAGACAUACACAUACACAACUAGAUCAGGACAUGACCCCAUCAUACCCAAAACGUUUAUAACAUCUGCCCUCUUACCUAUUGACUUUUGAACAGCUACUCCAAAGGAGUGGAGAGCAACAACCAACAACUGAAUCAUCCACCUACUAGGAGGGGCAUCACUGGGUCUGUUUGUAACUAUGGGCAUCAACACAACAGCCAAAAAGGAAGGGGCGUCAAUACAGAUAAUGUACUAAGUAUGUAAGAAUAAGAAGCACAAAUACAUCAUAGUCAUAGCGUAAGAAAUGUGAGUACGCGAUUCCAACCUGAAUACCAAAGACACACCACCGGGGGCGUAAACCAAACUGUGGAAAACUAUGGACCAUGGAUCAUAAAUGCAUGCAAACUUUGUAAAACCCAGCCUCUCAUUAGGCCAUGCAUUAAUUGAUACCAUACACACAUACACACACACAUAUAUGUACACACACAUACACACACACAUACAUACAUACAUACAUACAUACAUACAUACAUACAUACAUACAUACAUACAUACAUACAUACCUUUAGCCACUCUUUGGGGUAAAUUUUCAUCACUUUGUACUCGGCCUCAUAGAGGACUCAGUCGUACCCGGCCUUAGGGGGUCUCGAUUGUACUCAGUCUCUAUAGAACUCAGCGUAGCCGGCCAAAGAGGACUUGGUAUCCUCAAAUCAUGCAUCAUCACUCCAUACCCGGCCUCAUAGGGGAUUCGGUCGUACCCGGCCUCAGGAGAUAUCGGUUGUACCCGGUCUCAACAAAAACUCGGCAUAGUCGGCCUCAAGAGGACGCGAUAGCCUCAAAUCACACAUGAUCGUACUCGGCCACACAAGGAAUCGGUAAUAUCUUAUAUCAUGCAUCAACAUACCUAACUUUAGUGGUUGCACAAUAAGUGUCGUACCCGGCCGACUAUAGCGCGACUCGGUAGAGUAAUAUAUAUAUAUAUAUAUAUAAGUGCAACACAGUAAAAGUUCAAGAGGUAACAACUUUAAACAUCAGAAUGAAUCAUACUCUCCGAUCACGGGAUAUCAACCGGAAUAAUAUAGACUUUAAAAUACAUGAUAUCAGCAAAAGCGAACAAGAACAAGAUAACAUCAUUAAGAGGACUUAGAACUACCAAACCUUACAGUGCAGGAGUCAUUUAGAAAGAAGGAGAGACUUACACUAACUCAUACCAAGAAAGAAGAUUGUCCUACAUACCUGAUAAGAGAUCUACUUAUACUCCUGUGGUGGUUAACUUUGCCUUUAAGGAAUCUUCAGAAUCGAUGUCACCAGGCGACAGGUGUUACAUCAACGAUUCCAAGUCCCUUCAAGCUAAAUAUUGCUAAAUUCAUAUUCACCUUCGACUUUGCCUUGAUUUGCUAGGAAAUUCUAAAGGGGCAUUGAGAGUAUUUGAGAG
rnacentral:lncRNA from 1 species